UUUGAGACAAAUGCCAAACACAAUAGCCAUGUCUCGCGUUUGGAAACACUUGCAUAAUUGAUUUGAUGAUGCCUGAUGUCUAUCACUCACAAAAACCAAAUCUGGUUCAUCUGGUAUAACUGUUUUCAGCUUGUUAAAGAACCACGACUAACUAGCAUCGUUUUCCCUAUCAAUUACAGCAGACGCAAUGAUAUAAUUGUGAUGAUUAGGAUCUUGGGCUGUUGCAAAAACUAGCAUACCGCCGUAUACGGUCUUAAGAAAAGUGGCAUCCACAAUAACAACUUUCCUCAUAACUUUGAACCCUUCAAUGCAAGCACCCAAAGCAACGAAUAAGUACUUGAACUUUUGUUGUGCAUCCACUUCCACAUAUGAUAUUGUCCCGGGAUUCACCUCCUUUAAUACGUGCAGAUAAGAGUACAAGUCGGUGUAGCUUUUUCAGGACUACCACGCACAUCACUAACGUGUUGUCUUUUCCCUCUCCAUGCGGUAGCAUACGAGCAAUGCAAACCCAUUCUUCCCCGAACAAUACUCAUUAUGCUUUUAGGUGGUGGAGUUUGAAACUCACCUGGAUAAUCCUCAUGCAAAAUAGACGCGAUUAAUCGUGGUGUGCCGGUAUGUUUACAAUUGCCUGAGUUCUUAUUAGACCGCUUGCAUGUGUGCAUCUUCCUGUGAACUCUAACACUAAAACAAUCUGAACUCUUUACUUUUGCACAUCGUAAAUACCAUCGACAACCUGUUGUUUUAGAUUGCCGACAUCGUAACAUGAGUCGCUGUGGAUCUGACGCUAUAGUUGCGGUCGCAAAACAAUACUUAUUUGCAGCUCUGUUAACCAAAUCUUGCACGACCUCUUUAGAAACAAAUUCUUGGUGCAAUUCAAUCCCCGUUCCAUCUUCCCAUUCCGUAACACUCUGACUUUUCUCACUACUCUGACUGCCUUCACCAACACAUGGAAGCUCAUAAUACUCAAUUCUACCAUCAACACCAUUAUCUUCAGCAACAUCCAUCCGGCUAUCCACAUGCUCCCUAUCUUCAAUAACUACAUUCUCCAUAGCCUCUUCAAAAACCCGGCUAUCCGCAUUCUCAAUAGCCUCUUCUACACUAUUAGCCUCUUCAAUAAUCGGUUCAUCAUUCACACAAUUACCUCCUGCAGCUUCUCCUCUAAAAACCGUCACUACUUCACCAUUCUCCACAUCAAAUGCAUUCAACUCCUCAUAAUUAACACCAACUGAACUUCUUCUCUCUACCCUUGAAAUUUGUUCCACCCUCUCAGAUUCUUUAUUUACUACCUCCACGUUCAAAGCUGGUCUAAUUCCCUUAGCAUUCACUACCGUUAGAUAACCUAAAAAGUCAUCAUCAUCUACAAUAGAUGUCUCUCUCUGAGAUGUGCAUAGAAUAUAACUAAAUUUCACCUUCCUUGAGGUUUCAUCUAUUCCAAUCUUCUUGCAUAUCUUUUCUACUAACAUAGAGUAUGUUACCUUUGACGUCCUCAACAAUACACCGCUUAAAGAAUUGUUUGAAAUCCACUCAUGCUCUUCUGAAUAAUACCCAUUGUCAAAUUGUAUGAAUGUGUGCUUGUUCUUCAUCGUCUCCUGUAAUUACAAAUAAAUU
rnacentral:sRNA from 1 species